rnacentral:rRNA from 1 species
UACGUAGGGUGCGAGCGUUAAUCGGAAUUACUGGGCGUAAAGCGUGCGCAGGCGGUGAUGUAAGACAGGUGUGAAAUCCCCGGGCUUAACCUGGGAACUGCAUUUGUGACUGCAUCGCUGGAGUGCGGCAGAGGGGGAUGGAAUUCCGCGUGUAGCAGUGAAAUGCGUAGAUAUGCGGAGGAACACCGAUGGCGAAGGCAAUCCCCUGG